rnacentral:tRNA from 1 species
GCCGGAAUAGCAGUUGGUAGAGCAGAGGACUGAAAAUCCUGUGUCACCAGUUCAAAUA